CCCUUAGAUGUUCUGGGCCGCACGCGCGCUACACUGACGCAUUCAACGAGUUUUUCCUGGUCCGAGAGGAAUGGGUAACCUUUUGAAAGUGCAUCGUGCUAGGGAUAGACUAUUGCAAUUAUUGGUCUUCAACGAGGAAUUCCUAGUAGACGUAGUUCAUCAGACUGCAUCGAUUACGUCCCUGCCCUUUGUACACACCGCCCGUCGCUCCUACCGAUUGAAUGCUCAGGUGAGCCAUUCGGACUUUCAUCAUGCUGGUUUCCAGUUUUGAUGAAGGAAAGUCUUGCGAACCUUAUCAUUUAGAGGAAGGAGAAGUCGUAACA
rnacentral:rRNA from 1 species